AUCCCACGAGUACUGCUGGUAAACUGCAUAGGCACCUACAGGGUUCAUCCACAUCCUUCCAUGCUACAUACGCACCUAACUUCAUCCCUUAUUUAUUAAUUUAGUUUUUUUUUCAUGCAAAGGCCUCCAUGUUUUACAUCACUUACCUGUAUUACAUCACUUAACUGUACUGUAUUUCUACCUUUUAACGUGCAGGACGUCUUCCCCGCCGAACAGUGUGUUUUAACCCUUCUUCGCUGCAUACACAUGCUCGCCGAAAGAUAGGUACGUUAUUCACAGAUUUUACAAUUUACAAUUUGUGUUUUCUUAAACGAAAUUCCUACAUUUUUACGGUUGCCUGCUUACAUUUGGGUGCAUGAUUUCAUAGUCGUUCAUUUAAGAUGAGUAGCACCUUUCACCCCUCUAGAUCCUCCCGUGUCUGUUAGAUUUGCCAACAUGGAUAGAGCAGAAAGUUCUUCCCGCAAUAUGGGUACAAACUCUGCCCCCCUAGGCCACGAACGUCAAACAGGAAUGUCGUGUGGCCGUGGACGCCGACGCCGUCGGUCAUCACCUAAUCCUAUUCCCCCACCAAACCCAUAUGUUGCUCACGAGAACCGUCGCAGGCGUAUUCAUCUAAUGCAUCAAAACAGAAACACAGGUUUGUUUGGCAUAUUCUAUUCCUUCAGCUAUGUAAUUUGUAGGUACCAUUUCUCUUGAUUCAUUUAACCAUAUCAUACUUUUUAUCCGUAAAGCAUCAAAUCAUGCUUCUUCAAAUCAUGUUUUCAAAUGUACUUUUUUAUCAGUAGUCUACUUUAAUCAGAUCAAUAGCAAAAAGAUGCAUUGAUUUUACUGAAGAUGAUGGAGACAAAUCAAAGAGGCGGAAGCAAGAAAGCAAUGCAGACAACAACACUGUGGCAAACAACAACGAGGAGCAACAGUCAAGCCAAUCUGCAUACGGCAUAUCAUAGAACAUAUAGGAGUAUGCGACCAACAAGUGAAGAAGCUUUUCAUCGUACGGCAACAUAAUAUUUCCUGGACUGAUAAUAGGCAAUAGCGGCAGUGAUCAACUUAUGUUCUGCCUGAGAAACAUCCACAUACCAAACAACUGUUGCAAACUAUAGCUAUGUCCUCCACUGCAUCCACAUGUACCUGCAUGGAUAUUAUUAAUGAACCCAACUUUCAGUUUUGCUUUCAGCGCUUUCAAGUUUCCGCUGAUCAA